UACGUAGGGUGCAAGCGUUGUCCGGAAUUAUUGGGCGUAAAGAGCUCGUAGGCGGUCUGUCGCGUCUGCUGUGAAAACUCGGGGCUUAACCCCGGGCCUGCAGUGGGUACGGGCAGACUAGAGUGCGGUAGGGGAGACUGGAAUUCCUGGUGUAGCGGUGAAAUGCGCAGAUAUCAGGAGGAACACCGGUGGCGAAGGCGGGUCUCUGGGCCGUAACUGACGCUGAUGCGCGAAAGCCAGGGGAGCGAACGGG
rnacentral:rRNA from 1 species